UGUACGGAAGUCUGGUCGAUUUUAAUUAUCACAUUCUUCACCUUUGGUUGCAUCGCUUUUUUGAUAUUUUAAUUUAUUCAAUGUCGACAUUUUCUGAAAGUAAUGACAAAAAAAGGUAACUAAUGCAGUUCAGAUCACUGAACGGUCCAUUAAUCAAUGACUUCAUCAUGAGAACAAACAGCCAAAUGUGUUGAAGUCACUAGUUUUCAGUACGAAGAAGUGAAGGAAAAUGCAGCGCAUAUCAUAAGUUCAGCUGAGAUGGCAAACAUGGCCAAAUCACGACAGGAAACGGAACUGUCUUUUCAGGCAUGGCUAAAAAGGGCGAAGGAAAGAAAGGACGUGAAAUCUACGAAAAAGUUUUAAUAUUAUCAUUUAUUUUAUGUUAUUAUUUUCAAUGGAUGUUUCAAAUAAAAAAUAUUUAAAGGUUCAA